rnacentral:lncRNA from 1 species
UUUUAGCCCGUGUUCACAAAACAUGCACACAACACACUAAACACAAUACACUAGACACACAGUAUCAGGGUGGUUUCCAAAUCACUAGGCUAAUCAGCCUUGAAUUCUCAACAUUUUCAAAUGCAAAAGUCGUGUUGGGGGGUGCUGAUGCUGAAUGGGGACUGUGACAUGGAAUUCUCUUUCCUCUGAACAGCCAAGGCUUUACUCUCUUCUACUCCUACCCGGAGAAGGUAAAGCAUGUAGUGACCUCAGGGACUGCUUACCCCUUAAGGAUUUACUUCCAGGGGUGCGUGUGAAAGUCCUCCCGCCUUCUGUCUGGUGCGAGGUCUUUCUAGACAUAAUGACCAGGUUCAGGCAAGGCUAUAAAUUCACUCAUUUUCCCUGCAAGGCAUUUGCAAAGAAUGCAGGAGAGUGAGAGUGGAAAGAAAAGGCAGAGAGAAAGAUGGCUGUGAUUGUCACAUCCCUAGCCGGGCCAAGCCCCAAAGUCUGCGCCUUGAGGCAGCCUCAGAGCCUGGCCGCCAUCUCUCUGUAGGAAACAGAACAUCUGAUCAAGUUCAGAGGCGCCAGGAGAGACCGCCUCAAGCAGCGCUUUAUAACUGCAGCCUUUCACUUCCUGCUCCCCAAUCUGCCUGGCCCAGCCAACACUUCACCUUCUUUCUUAGCCGGUUUGCUGGGAGAAAACCCUACCGGUAGCACAUCUUACCGUAUUCACCCCCUCCCAUCAAACUCGCCCCAAUUCUCUCUCCACAUCCAGAGCUCUCUCCCCAGGUUGGAAGACGGAGUUUUACUCUUGCUGCCCAGGCUGGAGUGCAAUGGUAUGAUCCUGGCUCACCGCAACCUCCGCCUCCCAGGUUCAAGUGAUUCUCCUGCCUCAGCUUCCCAAGUAGCUGGGAUUACAGAUAAGAGAAAGGCCAGAUCCAACAAACAUUGACUGAGCCAUCACCAAAUGUGGGGCCCCGCGGCAGAGACUCGAAGGGUCGUUCUGCAUAAAAAAGUUGAUGACAGCAUAGCUUCGUUUAUACAGCUGGGACCCUCUGGAGUCUACAGAUGGAUUGUUAGAGAUGUGGCCUGCCAGCUGCCUUUGGAGAGUAGCCAAAUCUGCUGGGACCCAGCCACUUCAGGCACAGAUGUGCUUGCCUUUCCUGAAUGGAUGUCUUCCAGAAACGUUGGCUGUGAUGUCUGGUUUUUGUAUCUAUUGUUACUUCCAACGAAGACACAUAUACAAAAGACUCCUGGCUGCCUUUUAAAUGAAAACGUGCAGCAUAUUAGGAUCAAUCAUUUGUCUAAUGUUGAAAUGAGGUCUUGCUGUAUUCCUCAGGCUGGUCUUGAACUCCUGGCCUCUAGCAGUCCUCCCACCUCAGCCUCCAAAGUGCUGGGAUUACAGGUGUGA